UUUCCAUCUCUGUGCAGACAAUAAGUAAGCUUCUUCCUCGGAGAAUACUAAAUCAGAGAAAAACCCAUCAUCAUCAUUCUUCGGGUGAAUUUCUCUUCUUAUUUGGGUAUUCAUUUCAGUUCUUCUAGUGGGACACCGUGACUACUGCAAUCGAUCACUCACUUUCAAGGGUGGACCUUGGUAUCUAUGUAAGGUUUGCAGGUGACACCUUUAUCCAAGUGUGUGGCAUCUGUUUGGAUAAAGCAAUAACAUAAGGUUCAGUUUAGUUACUGAUCUCCAUCUUGAAGGAUAUGUUAUUCAUAUUGGUUCCUUCCCUGGAGAGACUGGCACAAUUUCUGUAGGUGAUUAAGUGACCUGCAAAGUAAGUUGCACGUACCCUUUUGUGGUGGCGCUGUCAUGGGGAAAAACCUGUACGUAGAACAGAUUCGAAGUUGAUGUUGUGAAUGAGGUGGUGUUGGGACUGAAGUUGAUGUUGUGAAUGAGCUGAUGUUAGGACUGAUAGCGAUGGAUCAAGCAGCUGAUUAUGUGAAGGUGGUUGUGAAGUAGUGAGAAUGGAAGCCGGUAAUGGUGGUGAACUGGUGAUGGGUUACCGGUUGGUGUUGGGCACGUGAGGGUGAAGGUUUGGUCGUUCAGAGACUUUACUCACUUUGGUGAUGUUAUUGUUUGUAUUUCAGUUUCAAGUAUUGAACGAUUUAAAUUUUUAGUUUAUAUAUCAGAUUCAAAUUUUUGAAGGUGUUA